rnacentral:misc_RNA from 1 species
AUUUGAUUCUCUAAAUUGGACAUAAUCAAAUCAUUUUAAUUGACUCUUUUUCAUUUUACCUUCAGUAUGUGCUACAUGUAUUAUUUGAUAGAUGUGGUCAUUCCUAAUCUUAUCCAUUAUCGUGUUGCUAGACAUCCAUCUUUACAUCCACAUUUUUGACACCUUCAUCUUAUGGGAAUGUUGUAUCAUAUAUAUCCAAUGUUCAAUCCUAUACAACAUAGAAAAG